UGUAGUGUAGGUGCAGGUUACCUUGGUUUAGCUGGUCCAUAUGGAAUCUAAGCAGUAAUCUGGGUCUACAUUAAGGUAAAGGUCCAGGUUAGUUAACACGGUAUGAGGUAACCCUGGCCUAACCUCAACCUCUUUUUCUAACCUAAACAAACUCUAAAUGUUUAUAUGGGCAAAUCUCGCUCUUUGUGUUGCACUUGCCUUUUAUUAUGACUGGGAGAAAACUCUGCAAGGCUUGCAUCCAGGAAAAUUCUAUCCCCUUUGUCAUAUCCCAUAGAUUUUCCUGUGGGAGGGGCAAUUAGACCCACAAUCUCUGUGUUCCUCAGCUUCCCCAUGUGUAAAAUUAUUAGUAGUAUUAGUCAUGUUUAUUAUGUUAGUACUUAGGGGGCCAACAAAAAAUGGGGCCCAACUUGUGCCAGGCAUUAUAUAAACAGAAUAAUAGUCUCUGCCCUAAACAGCUUGUGAUAUAAGCAGACAAGACAAAGUAUAGGGGAAAGGGAUAUAACAUGGAGAAUGAACAAUGUGAUGGUGGCAAAUGACACAUUAGUUCCUUGAUUUUUGGGGAGAGGGAGUGGAUGACGGGGUGGGGUCAGUUAGGAGAGGGGAGGAAAAUGAGGAUAGCAUUGCUUACCCAUCUUUUAUAAAGUGCUUUGAGAUGAACAGAUAAAAGUCAGUAUAUAUGAUGUAAGUAGUAUUAAUGAGAGUAGAUCUUGCCCCAAAACACAAAAUUCAAAUGUUGAUAGAGAAGGUACAGAAAAUCCCCAACCAGGGCAUAUUUGUUACAAUAAAAAAUGAUUUUAAUAGUUGGAGUGUUUCUCAGAUCGAAUCUGCAACUUUGUAGCUCUUUCUCCACUUCCUGGUUGGAGAUGUGGCUGGAGGCAUUAUUCUCAUGACAAUCUGUGGCAGAAGUCAUCAGAGCAACAUCAGAGGGUUGGCAAGUAGGAUUGCAGCCCACUUGCCUGUAUAAAUAAAAAUGAACUCCCUGUCCCAUCUCCUUCCCUUAGGGAGCCUACUUUGGGGGAGACAGGGAAUUGCAUUUCCCACAAUGUCUGACGUCUGUGCAUGAGGGGGGCAUGGAUCAGUGUUCAUGUCGCACUCCCGGCCCAAGCCAAGGAAGCUCAUGAUCCAACCAGAGGACCAAAUUUGGUAAUGAAUCUUGGUCACGUGACACUGAGGCACGUUGUGCAUAUGCUAAGAAGAUGUCUCCCAACAGCACUGUGAUGGAGUCCAGAAGUUUCAUGGGAGCUAAUCUUGCUCUAGGAAGAAUGACUAAAAACAACUCCCAUCCUCCCAGCUUCCAGGAUUUGAGCACCUGUGGACUCAGCACCUGUGAUUUUCAACUGAAAUCCUUCUCUGACAUAAAUAAAGGGAUGACAAAGAAUUUUCUAAAGUUAAGCUGAAAUGGUUGCAAGAUGUGUUUAUUUGGCUCUAUGAUGUUUUUAAAUGCUCCUCCUUUCAUUAUUUGUUAAAAUCUAUUCAGAAGCUUCAAAUUUAAUGUAAUCUACUCAAUACAUUAAUAUGGCUUCCUCUAUA